GCCGGGGUGGUGGAACUGGAAGACACGCGGCACUCAAAAUGCCGUGGGCUUCGGCCCGUGAGGGUUCGAGUCCCUCUCCCGGCA
rnacentral:tRNA from 1 species